UACGUAGGUGGCAAGCGUUAUCCGGAAUUAUUGGGCGUAAAGCGCGCGCAGGCGGUUUCUUAAGUCUGAUGUGAAAGCCCACGGCUCAACCGUGGAGGGUCAUUGGAAACUGGGGAACUUGAGUGCAGAAGAGAAAAGCGGAAUUCCACGUGUAGCGGUGAAAUGCGUAGAGAUCGGCAGGAACACCCAGGGGGAAACCAGUCGACUGGGCAGCACCUGACGCUGAGGUGCGAGAGCGUGGGGAGCGAACCGGG
rnacentral:rRNA from 1 species